GAUACAUCAUGACAGAGAAAUCUCAAAGCCCAGGUCAAUUAUAACAGAAGAUGUGUAGCACCUCUGCCCCCACAGCGUCUUCUGGGGAUCCACUUGGCAAAAUGAUAUAAAACUAUUUUCGAAGACUUCCCAUGAUCUGGCACUACUUAGAACUAAGUGACUGGCAAAAUGUAAGGAAAUAUGCAUAUGCACCUCAGCUCAUCUCCCUCUGUUUGCCAAGGAGCCAACUGACAUUACGUGUGAGGAGGGGCCUGAGGCUGGCAGAGUCCUCGCUGAAGGAAAAUGGAGUGGCUUUGGUAGAAAGGAUCAGACGUGCUUUCAGCACAGCCCUGCUCUGGACAGCUCGUGGUUUGCAGAAGGGCAGAGGUCUGCCUGCAAGUUACCACAGCAGGAAAGGGGACAGCUCACAGGGCAGCAGUCAGCAAGAUCUGGUACAAAGCACCACCCAACAAGGUGACCUUGGACAAGUCUCUUAAAAUCCUUUUCCUCAGUCAACUCAGCUGGCGAUUUGUUUGGGGGUGAAGAAACACCAAAAUGACAUUGAAAAGCAAGCUGUGCCCCUGCAUUGCCCUUUCCAGGGUAAACAAAUCAUACCCCAACAUCCCCCACAGUCCGCCAUCGGGAGUUCUCAGUGUGUCCUUUGUGGAGCCCUGUGGAAAAGCCUGGAUGCAACAUAAACUACACAAAUGGUACACUUGCAUAUUCAAAUAUAGUGCAAUGUUUGUUCAUCUCUCAAAACGUGUGUACAGUACUGAUCACUGUAUUAUCUGUGUGCGUUCUGCUAAUUAGCAAUGCAAAUAUAGAAAUAUUUCUUCUCCUUUACGCUUUUUU
rnacentral:lncRNA from 1 species